AAUAGGAAAUGACAGUGAUGUAGUUCUCCUGAUACAGGGUGACCUCUAGAGAUAACUGAGGAACUCCACUGUCCAUGAUCUCCCUGAACACCAAGGGCAAGUGGCCUCUCCAAUCCCCU